rnacentral:rRNA from 1 species
UACAGAGGUCCCAAGCGUUGUUCGGAUUCAUUGGGCGUAAAGGGUGCGUAGGCGGCGCGGCAAGUCGGGUGUGAAAUUUCGGAGCUUAACUCCGAAACUGCAUUCGAUACUGGCGUGCUUGAGGACUGGAGAGGAGACUGGAAUUCAUGGUGUAGCAGUGAAAUGCGUAGAGAUCAUGAGGAAGACCAGUGGCGAAGGCGGGUCUCUGGACAGUUCCUGACACUGAGACACGAAGGCCAGGGGAGCAAACGGG